CUGGGAAGGAAGGAGACGCCUAAACCGCGGCACUGCCCGGUUUGAGCGUAGCCAAACCUGCCCACCGGCUUCGUAGCCCCGAUUCUCUGUGUUUUGCUCCCGUCUCCGACGAGAGAGGCGGCGACGGUGGCGUCUGCGACGGGAGACAGCGCGUCGGAGCGAGAGAGCGCUGCGCCUGCCGCCGCCCCAACAGCGGAGGCGCCGCCGCCAUCGGUCGUCACCAGACCGGAGCCGCAGGCCCUCCCGAGCCCGGCCAUCCGUGCCCCGCUCCCAGAUCUCUAUCCUUUUGGGACCAUGCGCGGAGGAGGCUUUGGAGACCGGGACCGGGAUCGUGACCGUGGAGGAUUUGGAGCAAGAGGUGGUGGUGGCCUUCCCCCGAAGAAAUUUGGUAAUCCUGGGGAGCGUUUGCGUAAAAAAAAGUGGGAUUUGAGUGAGCUCCCCAAGUUUGAGAAAAAUUUUUAUGUGGAACAUCCGGAAGUAGCAAGGCUGACACCAUAUGAGGUUGAUGAGCUACGCCGAAAGAAAGAGAUUACAGUGAGGGGGGGAGAUGUUUGUCCUAAACCCGUGUUUGCCUUCCAUCAUGCUAACUUCCCACAAUAUGUAAUGGAUGUGUUGAUGGAUCAGCACUUUACAGAACCAACUCCAAUUCAGUGCCAGGGAUUUCCAUUGGCUCUUAGUGGCCGGGAUAUGGUGGGCAUUGCUCAGACUGGCUCUGGCAAGACGUUGGCGUAUCUCCUGCCUGCAAUUGUUCAUAUUAACCACCAGCCAUACUUGGAAAGGGGAGAUGGCCCAAUCUGUCUAGUUCUGGCACCUACCAGAGAGCUUGCCCAGCAAGUACAGCAGGUGGCCGAUGACUAUGGCAAAUGUUCUAGAUUGAAGAGUACUUGUAUUUAUGGAGGUGCUCCUAAAGGUCCCCAGAUUCGAGACUUGGAAAGAGGUGUUGAGAUCUGCAUAGCCACUCCUGGACGUCUGAUAGAUUUCCUGGAGUCAGGAAAGACAAAUCUUCGCCGAUGUACUUACCUUGUAUUGGACGAAGCUGACAGAAUGCUUGAUAUGGGGUUUGAACCCCAGAUCCGUAAAAUUGUUGACCAAAUCAGGCCUGAUAGGCAGACAUUGAUGUGGAGUGCAACCUGGCCAAAAGAAGUAAGACAGCUUGCAGAGGAUUUCCUUCGUGAUUACACCCAGAUCAACGUAGGCAAUCUGGAGUUGAGUGCCAACCACAACAUCCUCCAGAUAGUGGAUGUCUGCAUGGAAAGUGAAAAAGACCACAAGUUGAUCCAACUAAUGGAAGAAAUAAUGGCUGAAAAGGAAAACAAAACAAUAAUAUUUGUGGAGACAAAGAGACGCUGUGAUGAUCUUACUCGAAGGAUGCGCAGAGACGGUUGGCCAGCUAUGUGUAUCCAUGGAGACAAGAGUCAACCAGAAAGAGAUUGGGUACUUAAUGAGUUCCGUUCUGGAAAGGCACCCAUCCUUAUUGCUACAGAUGUAGCCUCCCGUGGGCUAGGUUUGUAUAGAUAGGUGUCUCUGUCAAUGGUAUAUGUAUCUUUUGGUUUAAAGAUUUGUCAUUUCAAAUUCAAACUUCAAGUUUAGAAAGUUGUAUAUACAUGUGGUUAGAUAAAUAUUUGAAAGAAAAGAAUACAAAGCGUGAUUCUCCCCGUUCCCUGCCUGCCCCCCCACAAUUUUUUUUAAACUUUGGUUUCCCCCACCCCCCUUUUAUUUUCAAAGUCUCUUCCUGCUCCUAACAAACAGGCUUUGGUCUGCAGCAAGGCCUAGGCAUGACUAUGCAAAGAGAGGGAGAGGAGACAGACAGUUGAAUGGCUCAACUUCUCUCUGGUGGUGGUUUCUGGCUGGAUAGAAUAAGCCUGACGAAACCUAGCUAUUGUAAGCUAGUUUCUUCAGUUAUUCUUUUCCCUAUCCCUGUCUAAGCUAGAUAUAUACAGAGAGGUCCAGUUUUAUGAAUGCUUAUUAGAUGGAAUUUUAUAAGUCUAAUGCAGUAUCAGAAUAGCAAAUAUGUGUAUUGCCCACUUUAAUUUACUGAGGUCAAAUUAUCAUGGGCACUUGGCUAUCCCCUCCUCCUACCCAUGCACUUAUCUGUAGGUGUGUUAUCAACUGAUGAUUUUCUGGAGUUUUUGACCCAUUACCAUUUAAGAUAUACAGAGAAUUUUAUGGUAGUUUAGCCCACUAUUCUGAGCUAAACAGGUCUAACUCAGAACUUCUAUAUUUUAAAAAAUGAUUAUUUGUAUUACAAGGAAAUCCUUAAAUUAUUGACAGGUAUUUAGUUUGCCCAGUAAGGUGAGAAGUACCAUAUUAUUCCCUUAUACUAUUGAAUAUAAAGAGAACAGGUAUUCAAACUGGAAUACAAAAGUAAUGAAGCCUUUUUAUGCAUUGCACUCAUCAUUCCCUCCUUCAGAGGUGGUGACCUGCAGCCAUGAUGGAAAGUUCUCUCUGCCCCUCUGCCCUCUGAGGUCAUGUCUGGAUCUGUGCCAUUAGAACUUGGGCCUGUUGGGAGAGGAGGCGGAGGCCUGAAAGCAGUUUACAUAAAGCUUUCAGUAAUGGUUGGUUUUUAAACAGGCUUGCUAUGUGCUGGUAGCUUCUUUGUGCAUCUUGCCUAGACAAUUAAAAAUAUUCGCUCCAUGUCCCCUUGCAUUUCUAAACCAAAUUAAUUGGCUACCAUUAGAAUAACUUAGACUCUUCAUCCCACCCCCACUCAUCCAAGUGAGGGGAGAGGGAAGGUACCCGAGUCUGUUUCUUGUUACUCAACAUCAGUGCUUGUUUUGGGCCCCUUUGUUUGCUGCCUUGUAAAAAAUCAAAAGAGGGAGAAAACCCACCAAAAUGGCAGAAUUCUGACCAAUGUCCUACAAGAUCCUGGAAAGUGAAGGCUUCUACCUCAUAGACAGGGGUGCAAUUUUCAGCUGAGUCACCAGGCCUUUUUUCACUUCCUGUCAAGCGAUGGUCUCUUAAAUGUUCCCUUCAGGUAAGUUCUUUGAUUCCCAUAAUUUUAUAAUAGUCAUCCUUAGGCUACCACUUCCCUUUCCACUGGGAUAUUUUUUAUUUUUCCUUUUUUUUGUUUAAACUACACACUGUUAAACUAAAAGUAUUGAAUUUAUUUUGUUUUGUUUUUUAACAGAAGCUUUGAUAUCAGCUGCAGAUCACUCAAUACAUGGCCGAGACAAAUCUACAUUGGCCGGAAGCAGCUCUAGAUGAGCCUCUUGGCUAGACUUAGUCCCUCCUAAUUAGUGAUUGGAGAUUCAGGCCAUGUCAUAGGGCCUUUCAGACAAAAGGUUCUUAUCCCAGUCAGCUGGCCAAAACAUUAACUUUCGAUUUCUUACCCUGCUACAGCAUCUUCUAGAAAGGCAGCAAGAUAAUAUUGUGGCAGUGCACAGAUAACAUCAGGGUAGACUUGACUGGAGAAAACCAAAUUCUGCGCUUGCUCCUAUGUGCCCCCAUCCAGCUGUGUGUGCACACACAGGACACCUUUCUAGUAUGAAGAACUUGCAUCAUGUCUGCCCUCUAUUGAACACCCCCAGAAAUACUUCCAAGUAUUAGCAUGUGAACUGUUGACUCCAGCCCCUGGUGCUUUCUGCUAGGAAAGCACGCUUUACGCAUCCAGUGUAGUAAUUGAACUUGUUCUACUGCCAUGGUCAUAUGCAGUGGGAUUGCAUAAGGAACAUUAUCCUAGCUCUGAAGAUACCAUGGAGUAGAAUUCCCCACCCCCUGUCUUACAUCCACCCUGGCCCUGUAAAUUCUUUUUUCCUUUGUUGCGUCAACGACCCUAGCCGGAGACUCAAGCUGCCCCCUGUGAUAAGUGCCUUCUCGUCUUUCUGGUGUGAUUCAGGACUUUAGGGGUCAGUAAAGACCGAGGAGCCUUUAUUGUAAUAAGAAACAGACAUAAUGCCCCUUCUUCACAACCCUGUGACAACAGCUAAUUUUUUUUUUUUUUAAUCUCCCCUUUCUCCCUUGAAAUUAAUCCAGUCUGGGCAAUAGAUGCAGUCUGACCCUUUGGAUGUAACUUAUAUUUUUUUUAUUAAUUAUUUUUUUCUACAAUCGCCCCAAUUAUCCUUGGGGGAGGCGUUGGAGGACCUGAAAUUUUUACCCGAACCCAGGUUCUCCGGCGCUUGGCAACCAAAUGGGGCUACAGAGAAGCAUCUAAGCCAGUUCACAGAGCGAGCGUGUGUGGGGACUUCUCACUGCCACGGACCCUUGAUGCAUGCUCCCCGCGCUCCAGUGGUCCCGUGUCAGAAGGCGGAGUUUUCGAAAGGAGGCCGCCAAAAAUAAAAGGCAAAGAGACGGGAUCGGCUGCAGCGGUUUCCCAAAGGAGGAGGGAGUGUGCAUCGGUCUGGUAACAAACAGAGAAUGUUUUUUAAUUAUUUAUAUCACAAAAAUCUGUGUUUUAUCUAGGAUAUUUUCUGAAUAUUCUUUGUAAAAUGCAGAUUUUUUUUCCACAAAACAGUAGGAUUCUUUGUUAUAUUCUUAAAAUUGUUUGUUUAAGUAGGUAAAAAUAUACAUUCAGCUGAAAGCAUUACACUAACAUUUACAUUUUAAGCCUUAGGAGGUUAUUCAGCCCAAUUCCCAGCAGUAGAGAGAAUACUAAACUUGUGUCUCAAGGUUUCAUGGUUUUCCCACGUUCUUUGGCUAUUAAUUUAAUUUCCCAGGUCACGUAGACAAUCAUUGAUAAUUGAAACAAGUCCUGAGUUGAAAUAACCUUGAGUUGAGCAAAAAUAUCCUCAUUUUGGCAGAAGCUGGGCUUGGUAGUACAGUAAAAUUUUAGUGUAAUGUGCUCUUGUAAUUGAAAGGGGAUAGAUAAUCUGGAUGUUUCUGCAAAGGAAAAUAGGUGUGUACUUAACAGCUUUGGCUCUACCCAGUUUCUUAAAAAGAUAAGAGCAAAAAAAGUUAAAUGUUUUGAUUAAGUUUCCUUUAAAUUGUAGUAAUAAAAUAUAUGAAGCUCCUUUUUUUACUUUGCUCUGUGACUGGUUUAAAGGUAAGUUUGUUAUGUUGUUGGUAGAUUUUGCCAGGCUUCUCCCAACAGAGUAGAAGUGAUUUGGCCUCGUAACUUAACACUGGUUUACCACUUUGUUCUAUGUUCCAGUUUUGUAAAGGAUAGUACUGGAAUUUGCGUCUGAAGACCAAUCUUGGUGUGACUCCUGUCAGUAUAUUGGUAAAAUGUAGCAGAGGCAGGAGUUUGGAUGGUUGGAUGGGAUUCCCUUAGGAUUCUACAGCCAAUAAAGAUCCUACUUCCCAUGCAUGUUCCAGGAAUCAGUAAUCCUCUUUUACUCUGUUGGGAUGAGUCUUUUUUUGUUUCUGUUCAGAGUGGUUACUAACUUCACCUUCUUUCCUCUUGCUGUCAUCUGCAUUCGUGCUUCCCACCUGUUGUUGGCAUGUCCUUUACCUUCUCUUUCCCUGCCACAUCAACCUACACACUGACUCAUCAUUGACGUGGAAGAUGUGGAAGAUGUCAAGUUUGUGAUCAACUAUGACUAUCCAAACAGCUCUGAGGAUUAUGUGCACCGUAUUGGCCGAACAGCCCGUAGCACCAACAAGGGUACCGCCUAUACCUUCUUCACCCCAGGGAACCUAAAACAGGCCAGAGAGCUUAUCAAAGUGCUGGAAGAGGCCAAUCAGGCUAUCAAUCCAAAACUGAUGCAGCUUGUGGACCACAGAGGAGGCGGCGGAGGCGGGGGUGGUCGUUCUCGUUACCGGACCACUUCUUCAGCCAACAAUCCCAAUCUGAUGUAUCAGGAUGAGUGUGACCGAAGGCUUCGAGGAGUCAAGGAUGGUGGCCGGAGAGACUCUGCAAGCUAUCGGGAUCGUAGUGAAACCGAUAGAGCUGGUUAUGCUAAUGGCAGUGGCUAUGGAAGUCCAAAUUCUGCCUUUGGAGCACAAGCAGGCCAAUACACCUAUGGUCAAGGCACCUAUGGGGCAGCUGCUUAUGGCACCAGUAGCUAUACAGCUCAAGAAUAUGGGGCUGGCACUUAUGGAGCUAGUAGCACCACCUCAACUGGGAGAAGUUCACAGAGCUCUAGCCAGCAGUUUAGUGGGAUAGGCCGGUCUGGGCAGCAGCCACAGCCACUGAUGUCACAACAGUUUGCACAGCCUCCAGGAGCUACCAAUAUGAUAGGUUACAUGGGGCAGACUGCCUACCAGUACCCUCCUCCUCCUCCCCCUCCUCCUCCUUCACGUAAAUGAAACCACUCAAGUGGUAGUGACUCCAGCAGACUUAAUUACAUUUUAAGGAACACUUGUCUUUCCCUUUUUUUUCUCUUCCCCUUUUCUUUUUUUUUCCUUUUUUCUUUUUUUUUUCCUUUUUUUCUUUUUUUAAAAAUUUCCUCCCCCAACCAUCGUGAUUUGUCUUUUCAUGCAGAUUAGUUAGAAUUCACUGCCAGGUUUCUUCUGCCCACCAAAACGAUCCAGUCUGUAAUAACAUUUUGUAAAAAAAAAAAAAAAUAUAUAUAUAUAUAUA
rnacentral:sRNA from 1 species